rnacentral:rRNA from 1 species
UAAUCCACGCCCUAAACGAUGCUAACUCGGUAUGUGCAUUUAUGUGCGUGCCUAAGGGAAACCAUUAAGUUAGCCACCUGGGGAGUACGUUCGCAAGAAUGAAACUCAAAGGAAUUGACGGGGGCCCGCACAAGCGGUGGAUUAUGUGGUUUAAUUCGAAGCAACGCGCAAAACCUUACCUAGGCUUGAAAUCCAGAGAAGUUGACCCAAAAGUCGAUGUGCCCUUCGGGGAAUUCUGUGACAGGCGCUGCAUGGCUGUCGUCAGCUCGUGUUGUGAAAUGUUGGGUUAAGUCUCGCAACGAGCGCAACCCCUAUUGUUAGUUGCCAGCAUUAAGUUGGGCACUCUAAUAAGACUGCCUGGGUUAACCAGGAGGAAGGUGGGGAUGACGUCAAGUCCUCAUGGCCCUUACGCUCUGGGCUACACACGUGCUACAAUGGUCGUGACAAAGAGUUGCUAGUCUGCGAAGGCAAGCCAAUCUCAUAAACGCGGCCUUAGUUCGGAUUGCG